UACGGGGGGGGCAAGCGUUGUUCGGAAUUACUGGGCGUAAAGGGCGCGUAGGCGGCUUUCUAAGUCGGACGUGAAAUCCCUCGGCUUAACCGAGGAACUGCGUCCGAUACUGAAAGGCUUGAAUCCGGGAGAGGGAUGUGGAAUUCCAGGUGUAGCGGUGAAAUGCGUAGAUAUCUGGAGGAACACCGGUGGCGAAGGCGGCAUCCUGGACCGGCAUUGACGCUGAGGCGCGAAAGCUAGGGGAGCAAACGGG
rnacentral:rRNA from 1 species